UGUUGAGUGGUGUAUCGGCGGCAUAACAGUCUUUGACACUGAUGGAGUUGGUUCGAAUCCAACCUCAACGA
rnacentral:tRNA from 1 species